ACUUCUGUUUUGUUUUCGAACGUAAUUCAUUCUCACAACAGCUGCCCGCAGCAGCAGGAGAUGGCACUCAGGACGGCUGUUCUCUUGCUCUCUGUGCGUCACCUACUCGGCCGGGGCCUGCUUCCCCUACCCCCCACCCACAGCCCUGACCGUCCCACUCCCCAGCCCCAAGGCCCUAGCGAGAGCUCGUCGCAAUCCGAAGGGGCGGUAAGGGGCGUGCCCCUCUGCCGGUUUCCCUGGCAGCUGAGGAGCCAAUCCGACUUCAAUGCCGCCCAGACCUGGCCCUCGCCCGCCCCCCAAGCAAGGUCCCGCCCAUCUUCCGCCGCGGGCGGUGCAGCGCCGGCCGGGCCUCGGACGGGUUCCAGCCGUGAACUCCAUCCAGCCACAGAUGCCCUUGAUAAGCCCAGCGCCUCCUCACCAUCGGGGCUGGUGCCAUCUGGGGCUCAGCCCGCCCCCCUCUGAGGCCUUCAUAAAUCUCUCUGGCUGUACCCACGUGGCCUUGCACCUUCCUCCCUCGGCACACCUGACAGGAACUCUCUGCGGAGACGGCAUUGGAAGUAGGAAGGGCACCCUACAGAAGAGGGGCUCACAGCCCUGAGGCUACAAGUGAGCAAACCGAGGUUCUGAAAGAUCACUCUGCAUCUUGCCGACUAGAAGCAGUGGAAAUGACCCAUGUCCUGACUCAGUCACUUCCUAACUGUGGGAUCUGGGGCAGGUCCCUUGAACCCUGCAAAGACAACUGGCAGUUGAGAGAGAUCUCCAGGCUUGGAACCACAGGCCUAAAGGGGCUCUAAAGUCCCUCCACCCCCUCUCCCACGUCCAAAGUCUCAACGUUCCCACUUUACAGAUGAGGAAACUGAGGCGGGAGCCGAACCCUGGUCAGCAAUGCAGGCUCCUGGUUAAAAGCGUUCCAGGCUCUCAUGCUGAUCAUCACAGGCAGUCCCUUCUCUCCGUUCUGCACAUGGAACUCAUGCCCAGAGGAGAAACCAUGAUGUGAGAAAGCUAGAAGCCACUGGACUCUAAUGCCGACAGAGGCUAGGCCCCUGCCUCCCUGGCCUUGCCUCCCCUCUUGAACGGUGCUGCAGGGCGAAUCUGGAGCAGGGAGGAACCGGUUUCCAGUUUCCAGGCACAAGGGAUGUCGCAGCCUCCGCCCGGGGGGAUGCCCGUCUCCUAGAGCGGGCUGGGGGAGGCACGUGGGCACCAGUGCCUGGGUGCAGCCAGCUUGCAGUUACCACGGAAACCGCCUCCCUGGUCCCCGGCAACCAAAGCGCUUCUUCCUUCCCACGCAGGGCGGGGGUGGGGUGGAGGAGGAAAGAACCACCAAUGAGAUGGCGGGAAUCCCGUGACGUCGACGGUAUCCGGGCUGUGUGGAGGAGCUGGCUGCGAGCGAAGCAUGGUACCCGAGCCUCUGGUCGGGGGUUGGGAAGGGUGGUGCCUGGUGAGGAGUAAGACGGAGUCUAAAGACUCAGCUUCCUCUCCUCCUGGGAGCCCCACAGGCAUCUCCUCUCAUGUGGGUCCCCAAAUUCACCGCUCCCUCCUGCAGAUGCUCCUCCAGAAUUCAGUGUUCAAUGGUGGCACCGCCAUCUGUUCUAGGAGUGGCUGAAGCCAUCGCUAACUUCAGAUGCUGCCUGCAAAGGCUGAGUGGGGUUCAGGUCGCAAUGGGAGGUCCGGGUGGGGAGGGCUUUUCCUGAAUGGGCAGGGAACCACCACCGUGGGAAACGGAAGUGGGCGCAACUGAGGUACAUGGGGGGAGGGGAGGGUUGGCUAGCGCCAGGUUGGGAACCAGAAUGCCAACUGUGUCUCUUGGUCCUGCUAGGGGUGGCCAGCAGACAGUGACAAAGGUGGGUCCCUUGCCCCAGAGACCAGGCUGGACGUUCCUGCAUGGUUGGCCUCUACUCAUGUGUGUGUGUGUGUGUGUGUGUGUGUGUGGGUUGGGGGGUGGAAAGUGGGCAUGGGUGGUGUCAUUGUCAAGGAUUCUUUGGACCCAGGAUGCCAACGUGCUGUUCCUCACAUGCUAGAGAACGUGGCUCAGGCCUCCUCGGGGAGGGUCCCGGGAAGGAGGUUAGUCCUGCUACAACCAAAAAAUAACACUGGUUUGAAUGGUCUCCACUCUGCCAUGUGCGGCCGUAGCCCAUCAAGGACACUGUUUGCUUUCUAGUUAGGAUUAUAUUUCACCGAGUGUUUUCCCUUUUUUAACUGGAACACUCCUAACGCCCUCUCCCUGUAAGCAGCCUUCAUUCCAGAGAAAGUCAAGGGACCAUCAGAAAGCCAUCGUCGGACCAUCUGAUACCCGCCCUGAUGAAUCUGAAAUGCUGGAUGGAUGGAGAGGAUUAGACCCCUUCCUCAAUAACCCCCUCGUUCAUGCUAAACCUGUAAGACCCCUUGCUGUGCCCUCUCAAGGCAGGACACAGCUUUGAGGGAUUCGUCUGCUGUGGUCUCCUUUGUCUGGCAGAGCAGCAAGGCUGUUCUUUCUGCUUCUGCCAAAACUCGGUCUCUGAGACGUCACUGGAGCCGGGGCACAGAGGCCGCUUUGCAGCCACACUCCCUCCUCUCCCUCGUUCAGUGUGUGUUAAGAGCCAUCUUUGAGCCAGGCCCUGUUCCCAGGACCAGGGAUACAGUGAUUUGUUGUUUAUUUAUUUAUUUUUGCUUUUGAGGGCCACACCCGAGGCAA